rnacentral:rRNA from 1 species
GAUGAACGCUGGCGGCGUGCCUAAUACAUGCAAGUCGAGCGAACAGACGAGGAGCUUGCUCCUCUGACGUUAGCGGCGGACGGGUGAGUAACACGUGGAUAACCUACCUAUAAGACUGGGAUAACUUCGGGAAACCGGAGCUAAUACCGGAUAAUAUAUUGAACCGCAUGGUUCAAUAGUGAAAGACGGUUUUGCUGCCACUUAUAGAUGGAUCCGCGCCGCAUUAGCUAGUUGGUAAGGUAACGGCUUACCAAGGCAACGAUGCGUAGCCGACCUGAGAGGGUGAUCGGCCACACUGGAACUGAGACACGGUCCAGACUCCUACGGGAGGCAGCAGUAGGGAAUCUUCCGCAAUGGGCGAAAGCCUGACGGAGCAACGCCGCGUGAGUGAUGAAGGUCUUCGGAUCGUAAAACUCUGUUAUUAGGGAAGAACAAAUGUGUAAAUAACUAUGCACGUCUUGACGGUACCUAAUCAGAAAGCCACGGCUAACUACGUG